rnacentral:rRNA from 1 species
ACACGACCGUACCGCAAACCGACACUGGUGCGCGAGAUGAGUAUUCUAAGGCGCUUGAGAGAACUCAGGAGAAGGAACUCGGCAAAUUGACACCGUAACUUCGGAAGAAGGUGUGCCUUUAGUAGGUGAAGUCCCUCGCGGAUGGAGCCCAAUGAGGUUGCAAAAAAUCGGUGGCUGCGACUGUUUAUUAAAAACACAGCACUCUGCAAACACGAAAGUGGACGUAUAGGGUGUGACGCCUGCCCGGUGCUGGAAGAUUAAAUGAUGGGGUGCAAGCUCUUGAUUGAAGUCCCAGUAAACGGCGGCCGUAACUAUAACGGUCCUAAGGUAGCGAAAUUCCUUGUCGGGUAAGUUCCGACCUGCACGAAUGGCGUAACGAUGGCCACACUGUCUCCUCCUGAGACUCAGCGAAGUUGAAAUGUUUGUGAUGAUGCAAUCUCCCCGCGGAAAGACGGAAAGACCCCAUGAACCUUUACUGUAGCUUUGUAUUGGACUUUGAACAGAUCUGUGUAGGAUAGGUGGGAGGCUUUGAAGCAGGGUCGCUAGAUCUUGUGGAGCCAACGUUGAAAUACCACCCUGGUGUGUUUGAGGUUCUAACCUAGGCCCGUAAUCCGGGUUGGGGACAGUGCAUGGUAGGCAGUUUGACUGGGGCGGUCUCCUCCCAAAGUGUAACGGAGGAGUUCGAAGGUACGCUAGUUACGGUCGGACAUCGUGACGAUAGUGCAAUGGCAUAAGCGUGCUUAACUGCGAGACUGACAAGUCGAGCAGAUGCGAAAGCAGGACAUAGUGAUCCGGUGGUUCUGUAUGGAAGGGCCAUCGCUCAACGGAUAAAAGGUACUCUGGGGAUAACAGGCUGAUACCGCCCAAGAGUUCAUAUCGACGGCGGUGUUUGGCACCUCGAUGUCGGCUCAUCUCAUCCUGGGGCUGUAGCCGGUCCCAAGGGUAUGGCUGUUCGCCAUUUAAAGAGGUACGUGAGCUGGGUUUAAAACGUCGUGAGACAGUUUGGUCCCUAUCUUCCGUGGGCGCUGCAGAUUUGAGGAAGCCUGCUCCUAGUACGAGAGGACCGGAGUGGACGCACCUCUGGUGUAUCGGUUGUCACGCCAGUGGCAUUGCCGAGUAGCUAUGUGCGGAAGAGAUAACCGCUGAAAGCAUCUAAGCGGGAAACUCGUUUCAAGAUGAGAUCUGCCGGGGCCUUGAGCCCCCUGAAGAGUCGUUCAAGACCAGGACGUUGAUAGGUCGGGUGUGGAAGCGAAG